GCACCCAUAGCUCAGUUGGAUAGAGCAUCUGUUUGCGGAAUAGAAGGUCGUGUGUUCGAAUCACAUUGGGUGCA
rfam:Candidatus Pacebacteria bacterium CG1_02_43_31 cg1_0.2_scaffold_2326_c, whole genome shotgun sequence.